GAUGAAGAACGUAGCGAAAUGCGAUACGUAAUGUGAAUUGCAGAAUUCAGUGAAUCAUCGAAUCUUUGAACGCACAUUGCGCCCGCCAGCACUCUGGCGGGCAUGCCUGUUCGAGCGUCAUUUCAACCAUCAAGCCCCAGGCUUGCGUUGGAGCCCUGCUGCUGCCGCAGCCUCCUAAAAGCAGUGGCGGGCUCGCUAUCACACCGAGUGCAGUAGAUUACUCUUCGCUCAGGGCGUGCAGCGGGUUCCGGCCGUGAAACCCCCUACUUUUAAAGGUUGACCUCGGAUCAGGUAGGAAUACCCGCUGAACUUAAGCAUAUCAAUAAGCGGAGGA
rnacentral:misc_RNA from 1 species